GUUGUAUGAAUGGAGUCAACGCGAGUCAACAGCAGCAGAUAGUAUGGCUCGCAGUCAAAAUUCCGGCAGUGGAGAGCGGAGGCGCCGGAGCAUUCCGUGGCGCCGUAUUGGGGAAUGUUGCUGGCUUCAACGGCGCAACUCUAGCUUCCGGAAUGACUAAUUACAUCUUCGUAGCUUACUCCAAUGCCCUAGCCGCCCUUAUCCUUCUUCAUUUAUCUCUCCUCGUUCACAGUUACCUCUCUCUCUCUCAAAUGCUCAGUUCUUUUAUUCAGGGCUGGGUGAAAAAGGGACUUUUUUGCAGGUCAUCGAAUCGCCCACCGCUGACAUUUGAUUUUCUGUGGGUAUCUUGUUAGGAGCUCUUGCAUAAGUUUAUUGAUCCCUUAUUCGCCUUAAUUUGAAUAAACUGAUAAUUCAAUGAAUUUAUGAAGUAAGGAUUGUAUCUUUGAUAGAUUUUCUUCAAAAUAGAUGCAUGCAGAGAGAGAUUCUAGUUCAAGACUUCCAUGAGUCCAUCCAAUUGGGAAAGAAUGAUGUUGUAAUGAGGCUUUUGGUUUUGCAUAUCUCUGUUUUCAGAUGACAUUGUGUGUUAUUUCUUGAUGUGGAUUGAGGUUCUAGUUUAGCGUUGUAUACUUGUAUUUAAUUUUGAUUAAUUGAAUUUGGGGGAAAAUCUUGAUUUGUGUUUAUUUGUUGUGUUUUAAAUAACAAUGUCUAGUUUUGUUCAGCUGACUGGAAAACACUGUAAUCAGUUACACUUUUGCUGAAUUUUUAUCAGCCGUGCUUAAUCUCAUUCCCGGAUUUGCCUUCGUGUUUGCUGUCGUUUUCAGGCUCUUGAUUAUGCCAAAUGUCGUGCUUAAAUUGAUCAGUGGCUUCUCUUUCAUAAGAAGGAAAUGGCAAUUGCUUAAACUUUGAUUGUGCGGUGUUUCGAAUGGCAUUGCUAAACUGUAGGAAUUCAAAAACAUUAGGAACGUUGGUCUUCAUUUCUGGCGCGUUUGUUGCCACUCUCUACAAAGGUCCCGAGAGCCUGACUAAUCUGUUGUCUCCUAAGUUGCAUUAUGCGUAUAUUGGUGUAGUAGCAGGCAAGUUGGAUUUUGGGAGGGUUAUUCCUUGCUGCAAACUGUGUCGUUGCUUCAGCCUACAUAAUCGGACAGAUAUAACUCCACUUAGAGAAAUGAAGAGUAAUUAGACAAGUUAGGAGUGUAAUCUUUUCAUAUUUAUAUUCUUUUUGCAACUGUUGUUGAUUCUCUAGAAAUACCCAGCAGAGCUGGUUAUAGUAUUCUUUUACUGCUUCUCUGCUGCCAUUCUGUCCAAAUUCGUGUCUGUGAUUUCUGAUUGUAACCUUAGUGUUUGGUCGUUGCAACCUAAUGCCCGACUGAUUGUUGUUCUGUAUUCGGUAGGUGAUAGACGAGCUGUUUCAUAUCUAAAGUCGCAAUUGAUACUGAACUUCUAUUUCAAUGCUAGACAAUGGUUGGAUCAAUACCAGUUUGUUACGUUGAAAACCCAGCAGAGCUGGUUAUAGUAUUCUUUUACGGCUUCUCUGCUGCCAUUCUGUCCAAAUUCGUAUCUGUGAUUUCUGAUUGUAACCUUAGUGUUUGGUCGUUGCAACCUAAUGCCCGACUGAUUGUUGUUCUGUAUUCGGUAGGUGAUAGACGAGCUGUUUCAUAUCUAAAGUCGCAAUUGAUACUGAACUUCUAUUUCAAUGCUAGACAAUGGCUGGAUCAAUACCAGUUUGUUACGUUGAAAACAAUGUUUGGAAAAUCACCUUACCCAUAUUUGGCUGUAUAAUUUGCACAGCUUCUCUUCUUAUAGGAAGUAAAUGGUUCUGCAUUCCAAGUUAGUGUAACUGCAUGGUGCCUGCACAAAAGGUCCCCUUUUCGUUGGAAUGUUUCAUCCAUUGGGGAUCAUGAUAUCUGCUGUGCUUGGUAUUAUCUUCUUGGGCAAUAUUCUGUAUCUUGGAAGAUGGGGUGCGUUCACUUUGUUUGAAUUUGCUAGGGUCAAUUAAUAUCGUUGUCGGGUUCUACUCAGUGAUGUGGGGAAAGGCAAAAGAAGUUAAGGUGAUUGAGAAAAGCAACAACCGACUCCUCUGCUGCCCAUUGAGGAUGAGCAGACUGUGCCGUUAGACAGAGCAUGACGCCAUUCACUUGCUAAUAUAAGGAGGCACCUCGGAAGCCACAUCCAUUUUCUGGCCUUUCUUGUAGAGGUCAACAGUCCAAUGCUGGAAAGGGUCGACGUCUCUUUGAAGGAGGAGACAUGUUUGACAAGUAUCUUCCUUCCUAUCCUUUCACACACAUGAAGUGUACAUGCCUCCUCAUCCUAUACUAUAUGUUUUUUUCUUGUACAAUGUCAAAUCUCACUCAUUCUUUCUCUUGAUUAUCCGUUGACACUCGUGCAUGAACUGCAUCCUGUUUUAUACAAUAUGACUAUUUUUGGUGAAUAGCUGACCAGUCUUGGCUGCAGGUGGAAGAAGUCAGAAUAGUGAGGCAUUGUCUAAACAUGGGAGGCAUGACCUUCAAAUUCUUAGUUUUGAAUGGAUUCAAAUGUUGUAUAUUAUUCUUAUUUUGUAAAAGACAGCACAGAAACUACUGCUGAAUUUUACACACGCAUAUGUUAUUACGUUCAAGAAUACCUAUGACUCUGAAAAUUAAGCAUUUUUGUUGAUGAGAAGUUUUAUCACUUCAAAUGUGUGUAAUGAUUGGAUUUUCCAUCCUCUGAAA